UCUCAGUUCGGAUUGUAGGCUGAAACUCGCCUACAUGAAGCUGGAGUUGCUAGUAAUCGCGAAUCAGCAUGUCGCGGUGAAUACGUUCCCGGGCCUUGUACACACCGCCCGUCACACCAUGAGAGUCGGGAACACCCGAAGUCCGUAGCCUAACCGCAAGGGGGGCGCGGCCGAAGGUGGGUUCGAUAAUUGGGGUGAAGUCGUAACAAGGUAAC
rnacentral:rRNA from 1 species